rnacentral:misc_RNA from 1 species
GAAAUGCAAUAAGUAAUGUGAAUUGCAGAAUUCAGUGAAUCAUCGAAUCUUUGAACGCACCUUGCGCUCCUUGGUAUUCCUUGGAGCAUGCCUGUUUGAGUAUCAUGAAAUCUUCAAAGUAAAUCUUUUGUUAACUCAAUUGGUUUCUACUUUGGUAUUGGAGGUCUUUGCAGCUUCACACCUGCUCCUCUUUGUUCAUUAGCUGGAUCUCAGUGUUAUGCUUGGUUCCACUCGGCGUGAUAAGUUAUCUAUCGCUGAGGACACUGUAAAAGGUGGCCAAGGUAAAUGCAGAUGAACCGCUUCUAAUAGUCCAUUGACUUGGACAAUACUUUUAUGAUCUGAUCUCAAAUCAGGUAUGACUACCCGCUGAACUUAAGC